rnacentral:rRNA from 1 species
UACGGGGGGGGCAAGCGUUGGUCGGAAUUACUGGGCGUAAAGGGCUCGUAGGCGGCCAACUAAGUCAUACGUGAAAUCCCUCGGCUUAACCGGGGAACUGCGUCUGAUACUGGAUGGCUUGAGUUCGGGAGAGGGAUGCGGAAUUCCAGGUGUAGCGGUGAAAUGCGUAGAUAUCUGGAGGAACACCGGUGGCGAAGGCGGCAUCCUGGACCGAUACUGACGCUGAGGAGCGAAAGCCAGGGGAGCAAACGGG